UACGUAGGGGGCAAGCGUUGUCCGGAAUCAUUGGGCGUAAAGAGCGUGUAGGCGGUCCGGUAAGUCGGCUGUGAAAGUCCAGGGCUCAACCCUGGGAUGCCGGUCGAUACUGCCGGACUAGAGUUCGGAAGAGGCGAGUGGAAUUCCCGGUGUAGCGGUGAAAUGCGCAGAUAUCGGGAGGAACACCUAUGGCGAAGGCAGCUCGCUGGGACGUUACUGACGCUGAGACGCGAAAGCGUGGGGGAGCAAACAGG
rnacentral:rRNA from 1 species